UACAGAGGGUGCGAGCGUUUAAUCGGAGUAACUGGGCGUAAAGGGCGCGUAGGCGGUGAGAUGUGUGUGAUGUGAAAGCCCCGGGCUUAACCUGGGAAGUGCAUCGCAAACUAUUUGACUAGAGUAUAUGAGAGGGUGGCGGAAUUUCCGGUGUAGCGGUGAAAUGCGUAGAGAUCGGAAGGAACGUCAAUGGCGAAGGCAGCCACCUGGCAUAAUACUGACGCUGAGGCGCGAAAGCGUGGGGGAGCGAACAGG
rnacentral:rRNA from 1 species